rnacentral:rRNA from 1 species
GCCUAAGGUGGGACAGAUGAUUGGGGUGAAGUCGUAACAAGGUAGCCGUAUCGGAAGGUGCGGCUGGAUCACCUCCUUUCUAAGGA